rnacentral:rRNA from 1 species
GCCAGAGAUGGCUUGGUGCCGAAAGGGAAUCGGAACACAGGUGCUGCAUGGCUGUCGUCAGCUCGUGUCGUGAGAUGUUGGGUUAAGUCCCGCAACGAGCGCAACCCUUAUCAUUAGUUGCUACGCAAGGGCACUCUAAUGAGACUGCCGGUGACAAACCGGAGGAAGGUGGGGAUGACGUCAAGUCCUCAUGGCCCUUAUGGGUAGGGCUUCACACGUCAUACAAUGGUCGGUACAGAGGGUUGCCAAGCCGCGAGGCGGAGCCAAUCCCACAAAGCCGAUCGUAGUCCGGAUUGUUCUCUGCAACUCGAGAGCAUGAAGUCGGAAUCGCUAGUAAUCGCAGGUCAGCAUACUGCGGUCGAAUACGUUCCGGGCCUU